GGCCCCGUAGCUCAGCAGGAUAGAGCGAUCCCCUCCUAAGGGAUAGGCCGCAGGUUCGAAUCCUGCCGGGGCCACCA
rnacentral:tRNA from 1 species